rnacentral:rRNA from 1 species
GACAGAGGGUGCAAACGUUGUUCGGAAUUACUGGGCGUAAAGCGCGUGUAGGCGGCUACGUGUGUCGGGCGUGAAAGUCCCAUGGCUCAACCAUGGAAGUGCACCCUGAAAGCUGCAUAGCUAGAGUCCUGGAGAGGAAGGUGGAAUGCUUGGUGUAGAGGUGAAAUUCGUAGAUAUCAAGCGGAACACCGGUGGCGAAGGCGGCCUUCUGGACAGUGACUGACGCGUGAGACGGCGAAAAGCGUGGGGAGCAAACAGG